rnacentral:rRNA from 1 species
GAUGAACGCUGGCGGCGUGCUUAACACAUGCAAGUCGAACGGUGAACACGGAGCUUGCUCUGUGGGAUCAGUGGCGAACGGGUGAGUAACACGUGAGCAACCUGCCCCUGACUCUGGGAUAAGCGCUGGAAACGGCGUCUAAUACUGGAUACGAGUAGCGGCCGCAUGGUCAGUUACUGGAAAGAUUUUUUGGUUGGGGAUGGGCUCGCGGCCUAUCAGCUUGUUGAUGAGGUAAUGGCUCACCAAGGCGUCGACGGGUAGCCGGCCUGAGUGGGUGACAGGCCACACUGGGACUGAGACACGGCCCCGACUCCUACGGGAAGCAGCAGUGGGGAAUAUUGCACAAUGGUCGAAAGCCUGAUGCAGCAACGCCGCGUGAGGGAUGACGGCCUUCGGGUUGUAAACCUCUUUUAGCAGGGAAGAAGCGAAAGUGACGGUACCUGCAGAAAAAGCGCCGGCUAACUACGUGCCAGCAGCCGCAGUAA